rnacentral:rRNA from 1 species
GGGGAGCAAACAGGAUUAGAUACCCUGGUAGUCCACGCCCUAAACGAUGUACACUAGUUGUUGGGGUGCUAGUCAUCUCAGUAAUGCAGCUAACGCAUUAAGUGUACCGCCUGGGGAGUACGGUCGCAAGAUUAAAACUCAAAGGAAUAGACGGGGACCCGCACAAGCGGUGGAGCAUGUGGUUUAAUUCGAAGAUACGCGAAGAACCUUACCUGGGCUUGAUAUCCUAAGAACCUUAUAGAGAUAUGAGGGUGCUAGCUUGCUAGAACUUAGAGACAGGUGCUGCACGGCUGUCGUCAGCUCGUGUCGUGAGAUGUUGGGUUAAGUCCCGCAACGAGCGCAACCCACGUAUUUAGUUGCUAACGGUUCGGCCGAGCACUCUAAAUAGACUGCCUUCGUAAGGAGGAGGAAGGUGUGGACGACGUCAAGUCAUCAUGGCCCUUAUGCCCAGGGCGACACACGUGCUACAAUGGCAUAUACAAUGAGACGCAAUACCGCGAGGUGGAGCAAAUCUAUAAAAUAUGUCCCAGUUCGGAUUGUUCUCUGCAACUCGAGAGCAUGAAGCCGGAAUCGCUAGUAAUCGUAGAUCAGCCAUGCUACGGUGAAUACGUUCCCGGGUCUUGUACUCAC